rnacentral:rRNA from 1 species
GACGAGCGGCGGACGGGUGAGUAAUGUCUGGGAAACUGCCUGAUGGAGGGGGAUAACUACUGGAAACGGUAGCUAAUACCGCAUAACGUCGCAAGACCAAAGAGGGGGACCUUCGGGCCUCUUGCCAUCAGAUGUGCCCAGAUGGGAUUAGCUAGUAGGUGGGGUAACGGCUCACCUAGGCGACGAUCCCUAGCUGGUCUGAGAGGAUGACCAGCCACACUGGAACUGAGACACGGUCCAGACUCCUACGGGAGGCAGCAGUGGGGAAUAUUGCACAAUGGGCGCAAGCCUGAUGCAGCCAUGCCGCGUGUAUGAAGAAGGCCUUCGGGUUGUAAAGUACUUUCAGCGGGGGAGGAAGGUGUUGAGGUUAAUAACCUCAGCAAUUGAC